UCUUCGUCUUCAAACUUCAAAGCUCAUUUCUUUACUUUUUUUAUUAUGAUCCUUCUUCUUACCAACCUAUUGCAACUUCAACUUUAACAUCACAAUCUUCAAAAUACACUAUAAAUCUUUCACUUUCAACUCAGUUACUUGCACAUAAUAUAUACUAUAAUUACUUACUUUCCCUCAUAUUUUUUCAUCGUAUUUAUACAUAAUCUUACUAUAUCUACGUAUAAAGAAGGUUUUUUUUUUUUUCUCGGAGCUGGGGGACUCAACUGGGAGCUCAUAAUCAUGAAGAAAGGGAGCUUAAGCUCCGGUCUCAAACUCACUGUUCCUGCAUCUGAUUGGGGUUCAUUUACCAAGUUUUUGUCUGAGUCUGAAAAUGAAACGUUCCAGGCAGGGGACUUGCUUGUCGACAAGGAAGGUGUUCGAGUUGUUUCUGAGAAGGAAGUGGAAGCUCCACCACCAAUCACGCCACUAGACAACCAGUUGAAUCUGGCAGAUAUUGAUACAAUCAAAGUGAUUGGAAAAGGAAAUGGAGGGAUAGUGCAAUUGGUGCAACACAAAUGGACUAAUCAAUUUUUUGCAUUGAAGGAAAUUCAUAUGAAUAUUGAGGAGCCUAUUCACAGGCAGAUAGCACUUGAGCUAAAAAUUAAUCAAUCAGCACAAUGUCCUUAUGUUGUUGUCUGCUACCAGUCAUUCUACCAUAAUGGUGUCAUAUCAAUCAUAUUUGAGUACAUGGACGGAGGGUCCUUAGAAGAUCUUCUGAACAAAGUUAAAAAAAUUCCAGAGUCAUAUCUUGCUGCCAUCUGCAAGCAGGUGCUGAAGGGUUUAAUGUAUCUUCACCAUGAAAAAUACAUUAUCCACAGGGACUUAAAACCUUCUAAUCUGCUAAUAAAUCAUAGAGGGGAGGUAAAGAUUACUGACUUUGGUGUAAGCAUAGUCAUGGAAAAUACAUCUGGUCAAGCAAAUACUUUCAUUGGCACACACAGCUAUAUGUCUCCAGAGAGAAUCACUACUGACCAGAGUGGCUACGACUACAAAAGUGACAUAUGGAGCUUGGGACUGAUUUUGCUCAAGUGUGCCACGGGGCAGUUUCCAUAUACACCACCAGAUCAACUUGAAGGAUGGGAAAAUAUUUUCCAGCUUAUUGAAGUCAUUGUUGAAAAACCUUCCCCCACUGCUCCACCAGAAGAUUUUUCUCCAGAAUUUUGCUCAUUUAUCUCAGCAUGUUUGCAGAAAAAUCCAAGAGAUAGACCGUCUGCUCGUGACCUUAUAAACCAUCCUUUUAUCAAAUUGUAUGAGGAGGACUUGAAUGUGGAUCUUUCAACUUAUUUCUACAACGCAGGAUCUACACUUGCAACCAUAUAGAACAUGGUAUGUUUCCGUCCUGGACUUUAUUCAAAGGUAAUAGAGUUUGUGCUAUGUAUCAUUUGUGCUAUGUAUCACUUCACUAGGUAUUCUUGAAUGCAAAUUACCACAAACAGAAUGUGUUGAUCUGUCACUGUAGUUGUUUCUAUAUGGAGGGAGCAAAGAAAGCCAAGGUUUUAAAUUGCAUGCGGUUGAAAUUUUGUAACUCUAAAUAUUGUAAAAAAUUAAGGGGUAAAUACAGCUGAUGCAGUCACUUAAUGUUGCAGUCAAAAUUGCAAUCGCAGACUGCUUUUUAAAACCUUGGUAACUGCUAUAGAUAUUAUUACCUAAACUCCAAGUAAACGUGGAAUGUGCUGGUUUGCUUCCAAGUUUCCAAGUCUCCAUAGUAAAUAUACGAGGCCCUUUCACAUAAACACACAGUUCUGAGCAGUGAACGUUAUGGCAUUCUCUGUGAACUUGGCAAAUGGCAAGUUCUACUGUCACUUUAUAUGUAAUUGCAAUUUAUAUUCCUUUACUUGGUGGAGGAUCCCCAGUUGCCAUGACCAGAAUUUGCAGAAUGGAGCCAGCGAAACCAGCUUCUAUGAUUAUGUCAAGGCAUAUUACUGUGUUGCCAAGAUAGAGUCAAAUGUUUUAUAGCACAAACUCUUCAGAGAAAUUUAUACACUCAUUUGAAAAUAACCAAUAAUAUAUUCAGUAGUGGUUGGGAUGAUUAUUUGAGAAGACAAUCUGAAACUUUUACAACAUUGUUCAUUAAAAAUUAAUUUAACUUUCUGAUGGGGGCAGCACCAGAGUGACACCUUAAGGUGAGGCAUCCCUGUGCGCAACAAAUUCUGGCAUACAAUGCAUAGCCCUGUUGAAAAACUGAAGGGCCAACAUAAUAAAUAAAUAAAUAUGGUAAGGACUAAAAGAUACUUGUAGAAUGGAAUACAUUUGAGAAAUAUUCCAGAUAAAGGGUUAUCUAUUUUAUUCUUUUUUCUUGAAUUUUCUUUGGGGCUUCAAGUCUAUAACAAUGACAGAGAUGUUAUCUUUGCUUCCUCUUUGAAGGGCAAGUCUAGAUAGAUACUCUGCAGCAUACCGAGCUGCAGGGUCAGGUCCUUGGCCUUGUUGUGAUGAUGAGUUGUUGCCAUUCUUCUUAUGCCAAAGAAGGAUUCUCCUUCUUGCAAAGUCACAGGCUUCUUCAUUUGUCAUGACAUCCCAUAAUCCAUCACUGGCCAGAAUGAGGCACUCAUCGUUUUUGUCUCUCUGGAUACACUUCACUUCUGGCUCUGGAAUUACCCAUGGUUUUAAGUACCUGUCACCU